rnacentral:rRNA from 1 species
GUGGGGAAUCUUGCGCAAUGGGCGAAAGCCUGACGCAGCCAUGCCGCGUGAAUGAUGAAGGUCUUAGGAUUGUAAAAUUCUUUCACCGGGGACGAUAAUGACGGUACCCGGAGAAGAAGCUCCGGCUAACUUCGUGCCAGCAGCCGCGGUAAUACGAAGGGGGCUAGCGUUGCUCGGAAUUACUGGGCGUAAAGGGCGCGUAGGCGGACAGCUUAGUCAGAGGUGAAAGCCCAGGGCUCAACCUUGGAAUUGCCUUUGAUACUGGCUGUCUUGAGUUUGGGAGAGGUGAGUGGAACUCCGAGUGUAGAGGUGAAAUUCGUAGAUAUUCGGAAGAACACCAGUGGCGAAGGCGACUCACUGGCCAAAUACUGACGCUGAGGCGCGAAAGCGUGGGGAGCAAACAGGAUUAGAAACCCUGGUAGUCC